rnacentral:lncRNA from 1 species
CUUCUCCAUAAUCUUUAGAACAUUCAGUAUGACAAAUUCUAUUACAAUUUUGAGAGCCGGACAACUUUCAAAAGCGUGAACUAUCGAUUUAAACAUUUUACCACAAUCCUUACAGGUAGUGUUAAAAUAAAUCAGCCUGAUGAAAUUUGAAAUUGGCUUGUAAUUUUUUUACGAUCCUUUAUGUUCGAGAUUGAGACCAUAAUUAUGUAUGCCCAUUUACAAGGUAACUCGAGUAAGUCCCGAAAAUAAUCACAAAUUCUUGUGGCUUCUGUUUCUGUUUGAGAGGAAUUAUUCAGUGACAUUUAUCACAGUAUUGGGGGUAAAUGAUUUAAUGCUGAUCUUUUAAGUGCGAAGAUGAACAACCGAAACCAUCGCGAAUAUGCUUAGGCAGACCAAAAUCAAUUCCAAAGCCUUUGUUCUUCCUUAGGAUACCACCACUCAGAUCUUUCAACCUUGCAGAAAAAAAGAAGUGGAGCUGAGGGACACCCCUGGUGACAACUCUUUUUUAAAACUAUGGGUUCACUUUCUAAAUCUCCCAUAGAUCAAAUGGAAGUACCAUUGUAAAGUAAAGCCCGUAUUGGUUUGAAAAAAUUUCGAGGGAGAAGUUUCUUAAUCGUCCUUAGAAUAUGGCCAUGAAAGAUAGUAUCAAAAGCCGUACUGAAGCCCACUGCAAAGAUAGCACCUUAUUUUGCACAGUCUCAAUAGCGGGUUUUUAUAUCUCUUGAUAUAUCUGUUAUCUUACUUCCCUUUAGGAAUCCUUUCUACUUCAUACCAAGCCUCUUGUUCAGAAUAGGCUCUAUUUUUGCUGCUAUAACACCCGAAAGGAUUCUGUAUCCUUCAUUGAGAACAGUUAUAGAUCUCCAAUAAUUAAAAUUAUUCCCAUCUCCCUUCUUAAGAAUCGAAACUAUUCGAUCUUUUGACAAUGAGGCUUUCGUUGUAUUUUUGAUGAUUUUGAGGUUAUAUUUACGUACUUUUUUUAUAUUUAGGAGGGAAAAACAUAAUAUCCAAGGAAGGCAUAAUAAAGAGUUGUAUAAAAACUAAUUUUAGGGUAAAAAUUUGAUGGUUACUUCUUAUAGGGAAAAUCGAUUCGAAACUCGACUGCUCAGUCGCUUCUCGAUGUUUCUUACGGAGCAAAUUAAGGUAGAGUUCCCGGGUUUUACUGUGAUAUGUUUAUAAAUUUAAGGAGAUAAGUUCCUUGUUUGAACGUAUUGGGCAAGCAUUUUAAUUAUUGAAUUCCAAAUUCUAUGUUUUACUUACUUCAUUCAAAGGAUAAUUAACGUAGGAUAAUAUUUGUGUGAGUGGAUAUGUCUAAGUAAUAUAAUUGUACAGUUUACAACAACAAGAAAUUGUCGUUUAUUAGGGACUAAUUUAUCUACAAGAUAGUUUGAAAGAGUCAUGAUUAAAAAUACACUACACUUAUGGAUAAUUUAUUGCUAAAUAUGUGGAACUUUUUUUUUUUUAUUUGAAGGUUUCUGUUCUUGUUGUUUAUUUUGUUGAUUAAUUAAAUCCAUUUCUCUUUAGUUCAUGGAUGGUAUGCUGUAGAGUGUAGCUAUUUGUCAUAUAUUUCUUAUGGUACUCAUUCAUCAUAAAGUACAAGCCCUACACUCUAUAAAUUAUUGUAAUAACCUAUUUAGGUUUAGUGCCCUUUAAAUUUAUUUAAAUGUAACUCACCAUUAUGAUGCUUUAUUUUGAGAUCAUAUAUUAUGUCACUGUAUAUAUCACAGUAGAGAUUAAAAUACAGUAGAAUCGUUGAUUCUACUAGUAGAGAUUACAAUCAUAUUCUGUCUUAGAACAAAUUAAAAUUUUACUGGUGGAGGAAGUAGUAUUUAAUAUUUAAAGAGGUUGCGUGUUUUAGAAAAUAUGACGCCACGUCAUAUAAUCUAUGGCACUGUGACCAGUAAAUUCAUCCCGUGUCUUUUCAUUCCUAGUAAUUUCAUUCUCAGUAAAUUCAGUCUUGGACUUAGUCUUAGUCACGUCAUACGAUUUAAGUUUCUACAGACGUUAGUAGUUUAUAUGUUGGGCUGUAGAGGUGCCCCACCAGUGGGGCAACAGUGGGCAGUUGGUACUGGAGAUCAUUGAUGGUUGGACGAUGGACAAGAACAAUUUAUGUUGCUUAUAGAUUAGAAAUGACGUCAUGAUAAAUCUUUAAUAGUGAGUAGAAUGGAAUCACAAUCCGUCAAUAUCAUUUAUACCUAGGGAAAUACAAGUAAAUCCCGUCACUCCUCCUCUUCUUCAUCGUCUAUUAAUAUUACUAUUCGCUCCUACUCCUUCUCAUGCAUCGACAAUCAUCAAUUUCAUUAUCCCCUUUUCUAUUCCCUUCCUCUUUUUACAAUUCAAAUCUACGUAAACAAUAACUAAAACCAAAUUGCUCGGGCCCCUAACUCCCUUCUCCAGGAUCACUUACAUGCUCUAUCCUACUUCAAGCUCAACUCUGGAAUGAAUCCUCCAAGUUACAACAAUCAUCAUCAUUCAUAGGAUCAUGCUGGGACUUGUAACGGAUUUCUGGUGUGUAUUUCUUCAUCAAGAGGGCAUGGAGAGGAUUGUACUACGACUAUAGAACUAGAUAAAUGUGGGUACCUCGUCCAUGAAGGGCUGCAUGCAUUUCUGAAUGUGAUAUAUAAUAUUAAAUAUGUCUAAAUAUUUGAUUAACUUAUCACAAUCAUCAGGUUUAAGUCAAAUUCAAAGUUGAAAAGUUCGUGCCUAGAAUGGAACAUUGGACAUCGUUAACUAUGAAAUUAUAACGAACUUCCUUCUUAAAGAGUGAAUCGAAAUAGAUCAUAUUAAUACUUGUUUUUGUAAAUAUAAAUGAUAAAAAUAUACUUAAUAGGAAAGGAC